rnacentral:lncRNA from 9 species
UUUUUUUCUUUUUUUUUCCCCCCCUAAGGCUGCACUCAAGGCAUAUGGAGGUUCCCAGGCUAGGGGUCAAAUCAGAGCUGCAGCUGCCAGCCUACACCACAGCCACAGCAACGUGGGAUCCAAGCCAUGUCUUCAAUCUACACCGCAGCUCACGGCAGUGCCAGAUCCCUUAACCCACUGAGCGAAGCCAGGAUCAAACCCACAUCCUCAUGGAUACUAGUCAGGUUCAUAACCCACUGAACCAUAAUAGGAACUUUGAGGGAGGAACCAAAUCUAAUCUCGAUCACACAGGUAUUGUUAGGCCUCAGUUUUCCCUGGCUGUUCAGCAGAGACUUUAGCUCUUUACCACAGAGCCCAUCUCCAUGGUGGUCUGUGUGGUCUCAUGAGCUGGCCGUUGCCCUCCCUCAGGGAGAAUGCUCUAAAACAGAGAAUGCAUCCAAGGUGGAAGCGACAGUCUUUUCACAACUUGAUAGCAGAAGUGACAUUCAUCACUUCCGCCAGACUCUGAUCACACAGACCAACCCCGGUAAAAUGGGGAAGGGGACUACACAAGCGCGUGAAAACCAGGAGGGAGGGCUCACUGGGGGCUGUCUUGGGAGCUGAGCCAAUGGAUGCAUCCUUACAAAAGCAAAUGGGCAGUUCAAUGAAUGAUAAGUCAGAAGAGUGAUUCAGAAAAUAGAUGCUGCAUAAGAACAGCACAGGAAGGGUAGGCUAAUCAGAAAGGGGCAUGGUGCUGACAGGGCUUCCACUAAGCCUUGAGGAAUCCUUUAGAAUCGAAGCAAGCAAACAGAAGCUGGGAAUAUUCCUAUCACGGAAGUAGCAGCACCAAGAGAGGGAGGCACCAAUUCUAAUCUGAUGGAGAAGCUAAGAAGGCCAGCUAAACGAUGCUCUGACAGCCCUCUACUUUGGGGGCCAAAUAAGUUUUUUAACACAUGAUGAUAUUGCAUUUUCCUGCCUAAACUUCUGAUUUGUCACUCUUUGACACUAGAAACUGUGAUCCACUUUGGAUCUUUUGCAAAAUCACAUCAGAGCCCCAAGUACAAAAGGAACCUCUGAGAUUGUGGUAUCAACACCUAGAGUCCCUGCAACACUGAAUGGGGAAAACUCUACGAAACCUGUCUAAUGCCCCCAGUGAUUUUUGUGCAGCACAGCCAUGCAUUACCAGAUACUGAAAGACACCACUGUUUUUCAAAUCAAAAAUAUCUGGCCAAAAAAUGGGAUUAAUAAAACAUUAAUGAAUUCUGAUGAACUGUUUUCACGGUGUGUAUUAGCUAAUGAUUAAUACUCUAUCAAUAAAAUAUUUCUCAUCCCAUUUAGCCUAAUUUAUGUAGAUGUGAAAUAAAGGAAAAUGAUAUAUUUAUGUGGAAUGUUUUCUCUUUGAGGUUGAUGUUUAAUGGUGAGACGAGCACUCAGAAGCUUCGCUAUUGAUCCCUCUCUUAGGGUGUGUAGGGCACGUCUGUAACUGGCACUUGGAUGCAACAGAAGAUGCAAAGUAGUAAGUUUCCCUGCCACCUCAUAGCAUGCACUCUGGUAACUGAGGGGAAGUGAUUUGUUCCAAGUCCAAGGCAGUCAACAUAUUUCAAAUUUGAUUAGUUUGGCCCUUCACUGUCUUUUUGUAUGUGGGCAAAACUUACGUAAUAUAAAAUUCCUGUGUAAUUCAGGAAUUUUCAGGGCUACACCUGCAGCAUAUGGAAGUUCCCAGGCUAGGGACAGAAUCAGAGCUGCAGCUGCCAGCCUACAUCACAGCCACAGCAACGUGGGAUCUGAGCCACUAUGGCUCACGGCAACGCUGCAUCCUUAACCCACGAGCAGGGCCAGGGAUCAAAGCUGAAUCCUCAUGGACACUUGCCAAAUUUGUUUCUGCUGUGCCACAAGAGGAACUCCCUAAACCACCUUUAAAUGUGUAGUUCUCUCGCAAUUACAUUCACAUUUUUGUAUAACAAUGGACACGAACCAAUUCCAGAACUUUUUCAUCAUCUGAACGUCUAUACCUAUUAAACAAUAAUUCUCCAGUUCCCCCUCUCUCAAUCCCCUGGCAAACACUAUUCUACUUUCUGUCUGUAUGGAUUCGACUAUGACAGGUGCUUCAUAUAAGUGGAAUCAUACUAUACUUGUCUUUUUGUGUUUAGCUUAAUCGCAUAGCAGAAUUAAGAAUCUUCAAGGUUUAUCAUGUCUUAAAUAUACUUUGUCCACGAAGAAAGCCAGAUUCCUUCUCAAACAUGAGAACUUUGUUCAUAUCUUUAUUGAGACUAUAUAUAGUCUCACCUCCUAUUAAUAUGCAGCAUACAAGGAUGUCAUGGAAGGGGUAAGGGCUAUCUACUUUUACCCCUGAAAUAGCAACAGAGAAAGAGAAAUAGUUCACUUAACAAUGCCUUUAAGGAUGUAGACAAGAACCUCCUGUUGGUAUCAGAAGUAGUAAGAAGCAGGACUUGGAGGCUGGCUUGAUGGGUGUUUCCCCUAACCCAUCUGGCUUGUACAUUUUUUACAUGCUCCUGAAUGAUCCAUUUUCUGCUAGUGUCUCUUAUUACAACCAUAUGGCAUGAACCUUUUCUAUUUGUAUGCAUUUCCCUUCAUUGAUAUGCAAUGAGAUAAAAGAUUUAAAGAGUGUUCAACCUUCAUUACACUUCACUGCUUUAGAAAUCUAUGGAUUUUCUUGCUAUUAAAUGGAACCAGAAGUUGUUUUAAAUCUAAGUUGUGUCCCAGGCAGCAAUGUUACUGAAUCACUUCAUGACUUGAGUGUGACAUAUUUUAUAACAGCAAAGUCAGAGAGAUAAUCACAUCACACCAAGAUCAUGAAAUAAUUCAUAUAUGUCUGUGUGGGUGUGGGUGUAAGUGCUUGUGUACAGUGACAUAAACAAACAACAGGGUUUCCAGAUGAAUAUGAAAGACAGUGAGGGUAGCAGAUGUCAAUGUGAAUAUCUGAUAAGUUAUAACUGGCAAACCGACCAAUCUGGUACUGUCCCUAUGUCAGACUCCAAAAAAGUAUUCAGAGAGGUAUAAUCUUUACAGUGGAUGUCACCUCAUGGCCCACAGCUGUGAAAUACAUAAGAAUUUAGGAGAAGAGGGAAGAAGUUUUUCAGACCUGUUUGAAGAGAUAGCCCAAAUUUCUUUCACUGUUCUUUAAGAGAGCCAACUAUAAAAACUCUUUUUAUCCUAUUUUUUUAAGAUUCCACAUAUAAGUAGUAUCAUAUAUUUGUUUUUCUCUAACUUCACUUAGUAUAUAAUCUCCAGGCUCAAUCGUCUUGCUGCAAAUAGCAUAUUUCAUUCUUUUUAUGUAUAUACGUACCACAUCUUUAUGCAUUCCUCUGUUGAUGGACAUUUA